rnacentral:tRNA from 1 species
CUGGCGCCGUUGCUGGUGGAAACCGUAGCCGCGGCGUUGACGCCGCUGCUGAUCGGCUUCGCCGGAUUCUGUGCGGUGCUGCAGGCGCUGGU